AGAUAGGUUACAGUUCACUAUGUACAGAGGAACCUUUUGAGCAGUGUGAGAACGAACUAAUACACUAUUCACUUAGUGGAAGCGGAUCAUCAUAAAGGUCUUCAUCCUUGUCAUCCUCAUGCUGAUCAGGCUGAGAAGGAGGAGGAAGAGGAGGGGCUGGUCUUUCUGUCUCAGGGGUGGCAGAAGCAGAAGACGUGGAACAGGAAGCAGGAGACACAAGCACACUCAGUGUAACUUUUGUUGAAAAAAAUCCAUGCAAAAAAAAAUCCAUGUAUAAGUGCAUUUCAAACCUGUGUUGUUCAAGGAUUAGCUGUAUUUUUGUUGGGCGAGUGGCAGCAGAAACUUUGGCUUUUUGAGCAACAGCAGUAGCAGUGGCCACAGCAAGGGAAAUUUUGGUUCUUCUGCCCAGUCUUGUGGCCUGGUUUUGGGCAUUCUUUUUGGAGACUCAACUUCAGCAACUCUGGUUCUCCAGCACUUCCAACAAUAUCUUUUUAAUAAACUUCUCUUUGGAAUACCUACAGUCAAUUUUAAUUGCUUGCAAACAGGAACUCUGCCUGAGAGAGUAGAGGAUGAGAAAUUGGAGCCAUGGUGGGCAACCUUUUCAAAGUCACAGGAGAACAAAGAGAGUGCUAGUAGGUGGAGUAGUCAGCCUCUGAGUUGGCCCCCAAUCGUUAUUGCCUUUUAGUGUUCAUGUACUUUUGUUGUGCCAUGUUGUACCAGGACUGCUCUGUGUGACCAACAGAAUACAGAGGAAAUAACAGCAUGUGACUUCCAAAGCUAGUUCGUAAAGAAAUUAUAGCUUCUGCAUUGGCUUCAUGAAUCACACACCGUGGGAUAAUGCUAGCCACCAUGUUAUGAGAACACUCAGGCAGCCCUGUGGAGAUGCUUACACAGAGAGGACUCCACUUGUCAACACAAAUUUGCCAGCUUCGGCAGUGAGCUACCUCAGAAGUGGAUCCUCCAUUUCCAUUAACCCUUCAGAUACUGCAGCCUCAGCUGACCUGAAUGCAACUUUUGACAGACCCCAAGCCAGAACUGCCCAACCAAGCUGCCACUCAAUGCCAGACUCAUAGAAACCAUGGGAGAUGAGAAAUACUUAUGGUUGUUUCAAGUCACUAAGUCUUGAAGCAAUAUAUUAUGCAGC
rnacentral:lncRNA from 1 species